rnacentral:rRNA from 1 species
CAGCGCCGCGGUAAUACGAAGGGGGCUAGCGUUGCUCGGAAUGACUGGGCGUAAAGGGCGCGUAGGCGGAUUGUUUAGUUAGGCGUGAAAUUCCUGGGCUUAACCUGGGGACUGCGCUUAAUACAGGCAGUCUAGAGUGAGGAAGAGGGUUGUGGAAUUCCCAGUGUAGAGGUGAAAUUCGUAGAUACUGGGAAGAACACCGGUGGCGAAGGCGGCAACCUGGUCCUUGACUGACGCUGAGGCGCGAAAGCGUGGGGAGCAAACAGGAUUAGAUACCCCGGUAGUCCCUGUCUCUUAUACA